UGGGGAAUUUUGGACAAUGGGCGAAAGCCUGAUCCAGCCAUGCCGCGUGAGUGAAGAAGGCCUUCGGGUUGUAAAGCUCUUUUAGUCGGAAAGAAAGAGUUGCAAUGAAUAAUUGUGAUUUAUGACGGUACCGACAGAAAAAGCACCGGCUAACUACGUGCCAGCAGCCGCGGUAAUACGUAGGGUGCGAGCGUUAAUCGGAAUUACUGGGCGUAAAGGGUGCGCAGGCGGUCUUGCAAGUCAGAUGUGAAAGCCCCGGGCUUAACCUGGGAAUUGCGUUUGAAACUACAAUGCUAGAGUGCAGCAGAGGGGAGUGGAAUUCCAUGUGUAGCAGUGAAAUGCGUAGAGAUGUGGAAGAACACCGAUGGCGAAGGCAGCUCCCUGGGUUGACACUGACGCUCAUGCACGAAAGCGUGGGGAGCAAACA
rnacentral:rRNA from 1 species